GGGUUGUGAGGUUAAGCGACUAAGCGUACACGGUGGAUGCCCUGGCAGUCAGAGGCGAUGAAGGACGUGCUAAUCUGCGAUAAGCGUCGGUAAGGUGAUAUGAACCGUUAUAACCGGCGAUUUCCGAAUGGGGAAACCCAGUGUGAUUCGUCACACUAUCAUUAACUGAAUCCAUAGGUUAAUGAGGCGAACCGGGGGAACUGAAACAUCUAAGUACCCCGAGGAAAAGAAAUCAACCGAGAUUCCCCCAGUAGCGGCGAGCGAACGGGGAGGAGCCCAGAGCCUGAAUCAGUGUGUGUGUUAGUGGAAGCGUCUGGAAAGGCGCGCGAUACAGGGUGACAGCCCCGUACACAAAAAUGCACAUGCUGUGAGCUCGAUGAGUAGGGCGGGACACGUGGUAUCCUGUCUGAAUAUGGGGGACCAUCCUCCAAGGCUAAAUACUCCUGACUGACCGAUAGUGAACCAGUACCGUGAGGGAAAGGCGAAAAGAACCCCGGCGAGGGGAGUGAAAAAGAACCUGAAACCGUGUACGUACAAGCAGUGGGAGCACAGAGCAAUCUGUGUGACUGCGUACCUUUUGUAUAAUGGGUCAGCGACUUAUAUUCUGUAGCAAGGUUAACCGAAUAGGGGAGCCGAAGGGAAACCGAGUCUUAACUGGGCGUUAAGUUGCAGGGUAUAGACCCGAAACCCGGUGAUCUAGCCAUGGGCAGGUUGAAGGUUGGGUAACACUAACUGGAGGACCGAACCGACUAAUGUUGAAAAAUUAGCGGAUGACUUGUGGCUGGGGGUGAAAGGCCAAUCAAACCGGGAGAUAGCUGGUUCUCCCCGAAAGCUAUUUAGGUAGCGCCUCGUGAAUUCAUCUCCGGGGGUAGAGCACUGUUUCGGCAAGGGGGUCAUCCCGACUUACCAACCCGAUGCAAACUGCGAAUACCGGAGAAUGUUAUCACGGGAGACACACGGCGGGUGCUAACGUCCGUCGUGAAGAGGGAAACAACCCAGACCGCCAGCUAAGGUCCCAAAGUCAUGGUUAAGUGGGAAACGAUGUGGGAAGGCCCAGACAGCCAGGAUGUUGGCUUAGAAGCAGCCAUCAUUUAAAGAAAGCGUAAUAGCUCACUGGUCGAGUCGGCCUGCGCGGAAGAUGUAACGGGGCUAAACCAUGCACCGAAGCUGCGGCAGCGACACUGUGUGUUGUUGGGUAGGGGAGCGUUCUGUAAGCCUGUGAAGGUGUGCUGUGAGGCAUGCUGGAGGUAUCAGAAGUGCGAAUGCUGACAUAAGUAACGAUAAAGCGGGUGAAAAGCCCGCUCGCCGGAAGACCAAGGGUUCCUGUCCAACGUUAAUCGGGGCAGGGUGAGUCGACCCCUAAGGCGAGGCCGAAAGGCGUAGUCGAUGGGAAACAGGUUAAUAUUCCUGUACUUGGUGUUACUGCGAAGGGGGACGGAGAAGGCUAUGUUGGCCGGGCGACGGUUGUCCCGGUUUAAGCGUGUAGGCUGGUUUUCCAGGCAAAUCCGGAAAAUCAAGGCUGAGGCGUGAUGACGAGGCACUACGGUGCUGAAGCAACAAAUGCCCUGCUUCCAGGAAAAGCCUCUAAGCAUCAGGUAACAUCAAAUCGUACCCCAAACCGACACAGGUGGUCAGGUAGAGAAUACCAAGGCGCUUGAGAGAACUCGGGUGAAGGAACUAGGCAAAAUGGUGCCGUAACUUCGGGAGAAGGCACGCUGAUAUGUAGGUGAAGUCCCUCGCGGAUGGAGCUGAAAUCAGUCGAAGAUACCAGCUGGCUGCAACUGUUUAUUAAAAACACAGCACUGUGCAAACACGAAAGUGGACGUAUACGGUGUGACGCCUGCCCGGUGCCGGAAGGUUAAUUGAUGGGGUCAGCGCAAGCGAAGCUCUUGAUCGAAGCCCCGGUAAACGGCGGCCGUAACUAUAACGGUCCUAAGGUAGCGAAAUUCCUUGUCGGGUAAGUUCCGACCUGCACGAAUGGCGUAAUGAUGGCCAGGCUGUCUCCACCCGAGACUCAGUGAAAUUGAACUCGCUGUGAAGAUGCAGUGUACCCGCGGCAAGACGGAAAGACCCCGUGAACCUUUACUAUAGCUUGACACUGAACAUUGAGCCUUGAUGUGUAGGAUAGGUGGGAGGCUUUGAAGUGUGGACGCCAGUCUGCAUGGAGCCGACCUUGAAAUACCACCCUUUAAUGUUUGAUGUUCUAACGUGGACCCGUGAUCCGGGUUGCGGACAGUGUCUGGUGGGUAGUUUGACUGGGGCGGUCUCCUCCUAAAGAGUAACGGAGGAGCACGAAGGUUGGCUAAUCCUGGUCGGACAUCAGGAGGUUAGUGCAAUGGCAUAAGCCAGCUUGACUGCGAGCGUGACGGCGCGAGCAGGUGCGAAAGCAGGUCAUAGUGAUCCGGUGGUUCUGAAUGGAAGGGCCAUCGCUCAACGGAUAAAAGGUACUCCGGGGAUAACAGGCUGAUACCGCCCAAGAGUUCAUAUCGACGGCGGUGUUUGGCACCUCGAUGUCGGCUCAUCACAUCCUGGGGCUGAAGUAGGUCCCAAGGGUAUGGCUGUUCGCCAUUUAAAGUGGUACGCGAGCUGGGUUUAGAACGUCGUGAGACAGUUCGGUCCCUAUCUGCCGUGGGCGCUGGAGAACUGAGGGGGGCUGCUCCUAGUACGAGAGGACCGGAGUGGACGCAUCACUGGUGUUCGGGUUGUCAUGCCAAUGGCACUGCCCGGUAGCUAAAUGCGGAAGAGAUAAGUGCUGAAAGCAUCUAAGCACGAAACUUGCCCCGAGAUGAGUUCUCCCUGACCCUUUAAGGGUCCUGAAGGAACGUUGAAGACGACGACGUUGAUAGGCCGGGUGUGUAAGCGCAGCGAUGCGUUGAGCUAACCGGUACUAAUGAACCGUGAGGCUUAACCUUACAACGCCGAAGGUGUUU
rnacentral:rRNA from 1 species